rnacentral:tRNA from 1 species
GCCCGAGUAGCUCAAUUGGUAGAGCGGUACGCUUAUAACGUAUGAUCUGUAGAUGACAGAACGGCUGGGGGUUCGAGUCCCUCCUCGGGUACCA